UUUAGGUAAUUAAGUUCGGUUAAAAAUAACUGAUCAUAACCGAUCGAAAAUUUCAGUUUUCGGUCGGUUUGGUUAUGAGAUUGACAUCGGUUAUUUCGGUUGGGGGAGUUAAUAUUUUUUCGAUUAUUUCGGUUAUUAACCGAAACCGACCGAUAGAUGCU